GAUGAACGCUGGCGGCGUGCCUAAUACAUGCAAGUCGAGCGAACGGACGAGAAGCUUGCUUCUCUGAUGUUAUCGGCGGACGGGUGAGUAACACGUGGAUAACCUACCUAUAAGACUGGGAUAACUUCGGGAAACCGUAGCUAAUACCGGAUAAUAUUUUGAACCGCAUGGUUCAAAAGUGAAAGACGGUCUUGCUGUCACUUAUAGAUGGAUCCGCGCUGCAUUAGCUAGUUGGUAAGGUAACGGCUUACCAAGGCAACGAUGCAUAGCCGACCUGAGAGGGUGAUCGGCCACACUGGAACUGAGACACGGUCCAGACUCCUACGGGAGGCAGCAGUAGGGAAUCUUCCGCAAUGGGCGAGAGCCUGACGGAGCAACGCCGCGUGAGUGAUGAAGGUCUUCGGAUCGUAAAACUCUGUUAUUAGGGAAGAACAUAUGUGUAAGUAACUGUGCACAUCCUGACGGUACCUAAUCAGAAAGCCACGGCUAACUACGUG
rnacentral:rRNA from 1 species